UACGUAGGAGGCGAGCGUUGUCCGGAAUUACUGGGCGUAAAGAGCUCGUAGGCGGUCUGUCGCGUCGGCUGUGAAAACUCGGGGCUCAACUCCGAGCUUGCAGUCGAUACGGGCAGGCUAGAGUUCGGCAGGGGAGACUGGAAUUCCUGGUGUAGCGGUGAAAUGCGCAGAUAUCAGGAGGAACACCGGUGGCGAAGGCGGGUCUCUGGGCCGAUACUGACGCUGAGGAGCGAAAGCGUGGGGAGCGAACAGG
rnacentral:rRNA from 1 species